rnacentral:rRNA from 1 species
AUGCGGCUAAGAGAACUCCCGUUACACCUUGAGUUAGAGCAUACACGUUACAUAUGCAAGGAGGCGGCCCGGGGCAAGCACGGUGGGGCGGCUGUGGUGGAGUCAUUGGGCGGCCCCUCCCUGCUCGCCCCACCACGCAGGCUUGCCCAGGAGCAGAGGCCUGCUGUUGACCUAGCUAGAGAGCCGGAGGCACUAGCGGACCCGGUUGAGGAGUUCUCCCAAGGAGCAAAGAAGAGCCUCCCUCCCCCGCCCCGUCCAAACGACAUGGCCUCACAGAUCGACAAGGUGAUCGCCGCCAAGCUAGACAAGCUACUCUGCUUCAACGACGAGGAUGACGGAUGCAGCGGCGAAUCCUUGGACAUGGGACCGGCCCUGUCCCUGGCCCGUCACACUCCAUUGGCGGUGGACACGCACGAGGUGCAGCUGGGAGAGGUCACACAGAGGGUCACGGAGAUGCACCUCCAGGGGGAAGGAGAAGAUGCAGUGCAGCAGCCCCUCUUCACCAAGCCGAAGCCGGCGAUCAUCGGGAAGCCACCGGUAAGAGACAAGACCCCGCUCAAGGCCAGGCCGCAUGCCAAGCCAGUCAGGCAGAGUGCCCGGCAGGCUGAGAACCCCUCCUCUGUGCCGGUCUCGCAGCGGGGAACGCUCCGACUGGUGCAGGGGCUCGGUGUUCUAGGGCUAAAGGAGAAGAUGACGGCACAGGCGGUGGAAGCCCUCAUUCGCCGUUUUGAUGAAUCCCUCUCGGACGACGAUAUUGCUGCCAUUGCAAAGCUCACCAGCCUCGACCCCCGCAUGCUCAAGGUGAUCGCCGGCCUGCCAAGCCAGCAAGGAGAUGCCUCUGAGCCCCGUUCCCCAUGUUAG